AUCACAUUUCCUAACUCCACCUUUAGAAACAAAUUGUUGCAAUACAUUAACAAGUUCAGAGCAAUAAUUGUGAAUUAAUAUUGAAAUCCAACAAUUUAUUUUAUUAAAGUUAUUUGUGAUAUUAAAACUAAACUUUUUGACGGCAGGCACAUUCAACGUUGUCAUCAUGGACUCGGGUUCCGACGAAGAAAUUCGACGAUGGAAGGAAGACUUAAAAUGUAAAAUAGAACAAAGAAAACGAGAAAAGCGUGAACAAAGAAAUACUACUCUCUCACAAACUCGGCAAUCUGAAGAGAGGCUCCGGUCUACAAAAACGUCGACAGAUUUAAUAACAGAAGAUACCAAUCAACACACUAAAAAUGCCACUGAAGAAAGUGUGUACCCAAAGAAAAGCGGACAAAUAGAUAUAGAAACAACGAAUAAGUCUUUUCGAGAGAAGACUUUUCAAAAAAGAUCAGGGACUACCGAUAAAGGAAAAAAAUACGAAGAUAUGAUUAUGGCUAAUGUCAUACUUCAAAUGGUAAGCGACACUAAAAUAACCGAUUUCAACAUUUCGUCGAAUGAUGCAAGUUUUGGUGAUUUCGAUGACGUAGUAAUACAAAUUGAGACAGAUCGAGGUACUGAAACAACAGCAAUGCAAUUAAAACACAGCAGUCGAGGAAAUUUAGCGAUCCAACAACUAGCAAGCAAGAGGGGAGAUUUUAGCAUAAGCAAGUAUUUCAAUUCUGCACAAAAUUUACUGGACAAAGCGCAACGAUUUGUAUUAUUCACCAACAAUAAAUUGAAUAUUCCGGACAAAGCAAAGUUCAAACUCGAAGGAGAAGAGUUUUACCUAGAACCGAAAAAAGUUUUGGCUUCAGAAAGCAGUUACGAGGUUUUAGAAAUCUCUAAAAAUGUGAAUUAUUGCUACAAAUUUGAAAUUAUAGAAGAUCAGCGGACUAAAGAAAAUUUAGAAAAAGUUCAUCAAUAUCAGACAUUCUUUAACCGCUUUCGUUUAUACACCAACCAAGAGCCUUUGGAAACUCUUGCGACAUCAACGAUGGAUAGAUUUACUAAGAUGUUUUGUUCUAAUGAAGAAAUAUUCAACGCAUAUUUUAAAUUCAUAUCGGAAUGGAGUAUGGAACAAGGAACGAAGGAAAAACUAAGCAAAAAAUGUACGCAACGUUUAAUUGCACUUCGUCUGCUUUCUCCUCAUAUCGAACCUCUUGUUUUUGGUCCGGUCAGUGACGAAAUGAACAUCCUUCGAGACGCUAUUUGUCAUUUCGACAUCACGUUAUUGGGGAAAGAAGGCAGCAACGAACUUAAAAAAUUAUGGGGCGACUUGAACAAAAAUAUUGAUCUCAAAAAACUAAACAAAGUGCGAUCACGAUAUUGUCUUUCUUCUGCUAAUAUAUCUACUGUCGAAAAUCUUGACGCCAAUGUGUUGACGCAAUUGUUAUGGUUGAUGGAUAAAUGUCCGUUAAUCGUAAAAGAACACGAAAAUGUCGAAAAAGCUAUUCAGCUCUGCCGUGAUACAAAGUUUGUUUUAAUUGGUGAAGGAAAAUGUAAAAAAUGGAUGAAAGUUCGUUCCGUAUUUCUCAACUUGUCAGAUUUAGAGUCAAAACUUGAAUCAUGGGAAAAAGUGUUAAAAAAAUUUACUAUUUCGUUGCAAGGGAAAAACGCGUUUAAUUUAGAAACUGCUUUUGAGCAAAAUGAAGACUUUUUAAAGCACGUAACUGUGAACAAACUUUUAGAAAUGUCAAACGGUUCGUGCUAUAUAGGUGGACAAAAGGAAACUUUUCCCAAUAUUUAUAUCGAUAGAUAUUUGUCGGUCACUAUGAUUGAUAUUAAAUAUUUAGAACAUGUUAAUCAAAACACUGUUAUCGUUCUCAACUGCGAAGAAAAUUUGGAGCAAUUAAAAGUAUCUAAAAAGCACAUUCUGAUAGAUAUAAACGAUUUUCUCAGUAACAGAGAUUCCAAAAUUUACCGCACUCCAGUUGUUAUAAUAACUAAAAAUAAAUGUAGCGAAUCUGAAUUUCACAAAAUAUGUUCCAAAAUAAUAGACUCCAAAAUUGUGCAUCAUUUUGAUUUUCUUUAUAACAAAACUUUAGAAUGGAUCCGAAGUAGAGGGGACAUUAGUGAAUUGCGAAAUUAUAAGUUAAGUAAUUAUUCCCAAAACGAGAAAGAGUUUUGGUCUUUCGAUUUAAACAACAACAUUAAUUUAAUAACAGGCGAUCCCGGAAUGGGCAAAACUGAGUUGACAAAAAGCUUAAAAAACAACUGUUGUUUUAAACAUUGGACGGUGAUUAUGACCCCUCAAGAUAUUAAUUCAUUGUCUAAAACUUUACAAACUUGUGACGCAUCAGAUUACUUAAAUCGGUUCGAAUCAUUUAUCUUAAACGAAAAAUAUCGACAUCUUGAACGGUUCGAUCGAGAAUUUUUCAAAAUGUGUUUGGAGCAAAACAAUGUCGUUUACGUGUGGGACGCUCUCGACGAAAUUUUAAUUAUAAAUGUGGACGUUGUUUCAGACUUGAUUCUUAUAUUAUCACAAAAAGGUUUCAUUCAGUGGGUUACCGCACGACAACACUUAAUGUCGUUCCUUGAAACAAAAUUUAAUGUAUUGUCGAUGGGUAUUAACCAGUUCAGCGAGACCGAGCAAGAAGAUUAUAUUAGAAAACGUCUUUCCAGUAUUAUUUUGUCCGACGACAUGGAAAGAACGAUCGAGAAAAUUAAAUCAACGUUUGCGUUCACAAAACACAUCGAUAUUUUGGGGAUUCCGCUUCAGAUUUUUAUGCUUACAGAGAUAUUCCGUCAAAAUAAAGAAACUUGUUUAGAAUUGAACAACAAGUUUCUCUUGACUGACUUAUAUCGUUAUUUUAUUGACGGAAAAUUUAAAGUCUUCUUUGGAGGCAAGGUGCCUCUAAAAGGUGACUAUUGGGAAGAAGAGGUCAGAAAGAAAAAAGAAGACAAAUUAAAGCAGUAUGAAAAGUUCGCACUUGAGUUAAUAUUUCCUGAAGAAAUUUUGAAGGAAUUAAAGAUCGACUGUUCACGAGAUGUAAAUUUAGUUUCUGAAGAUUUUGCAACUGUUGGUAUCGUCACUGGAUCACAAUUCGUGCACGCGUCUUUUGCUGAGUAUUUCGUUGCCUCGUAUUUUUCUAAAAAUUUUGAAAUGAUACGCAGAGACAUAUUUUUUGAUCAAAAGUACAAUAACGUACGGUUUUUCUUCGACAUGCUAAUUGUUAAAAAAUCACCGGUGCACAUCGCGGUCUUGUACAGAAAUUUUGAACAACUAAAGAGUUAUAAUGACGAAAUAAUAAAUCGUAAAGACGACGGUGGAAGAAGUGCCUUACAUCUCAUUUGUUCUUGGGGACAAAGACAUCCACGUUUAGAGGUAUACGAGGAAGAUGAUCUUUAUGUAAUCGAUGACUAUUUCUUCAGUGAUUCGCUAGAAACGAGAGAAUAUUUUAACGCGUUGCUAUUUCUCUUGAACAAAUGUGAAAUUUCAGAACACGAUUUGUUGUUUAAAAUCACACCUUUGGAAUGUUCUCGAGAAAGUGAAAGUUUGGGGGCUGAGCUGCAAUUAUUGCAGUCGAGAAAGUUACAGUUGCAACAAUUGUAUAGUACAAGUGAUAGAAUUAAUAUUUUGUAUCACUCUGCUCGGUUAGGGUACGACGAAGCGAUUAAAGGGGUUAUUUCCGAAAAUUCUGGCUCCUCUUACAAAGAAGUAAAUUUUAGUACUGCACGCUAUAGUGAAACUCCUUUGUUAGCAGCUUCCGAAAAGGGACACACCCUUGUUGCAGAAUACUUGGUAAAGUGCGGAGCCGAAGUCAAUCGCGCUACUCAUUUUGGUUGGAGACCGCUCCACGCAGCUUCCUCGAACGGUCACUACAAAAUUGUCGAAUGUCUAGUGAAACGCGGAGCCGAAAUCAAUCGUUCUAACAAUUAUGACGAAACCCCGCUUUUCGCAGCUUGUUUGAACGGCUACGAAAAAAUUGUCGAAUGUCUAGUGAAAUACGGAGCCGAAAUCAAUCGUUUUGAUAGUGAUGGUUGGACACCGCUUUAUGCCGCUUCCUCGAAGGGUCACUAUAAAACCGUCGAAUGCCUAGUGAAAUACGGAGCCGAAAUCAAUCGCGCUAAUAGUAUUGGUUGGACACCGCUUAACACAGCUUCUCUGAACGGUUUCGAAAAAAUUGUCGAAUGUCUUGUGACAUAUGGAGUCGAAGUCAAUCGUGCUACAAAUGGUGGUCGGACACCACUUUAUUCAGCUUCCUCGAACGGUCACUAUAAAAUUGUCGAGUGUUUAGUGAAAAACGGAGCCGAAAUCAAUCAGGCUAAUAAUAUUGGUCGGACACCGCUUCACGCAGCUUCCUCGAACGGUCACUAUAAAAUUGUCGAAUAUUUAGUGAAAUGCGGAGGCGAAAUUAAUAGGGCUAAUAAAGAUGGUUGGACACCGCUUUACGCAGCAUCUAAGUAUCAACAUACCAAAACAGUAGAAUUUUUAUUAGCAAAUGGUGCAAAAUAAUUUUAAACUAUAGUACUCAAAGAACUGUACAAUUUAAGGCUUUGUUAUAUUAGUACAGAUUGUUUCGUAACUUGUGACAAAUUGUUGACUCAGUUUUUCCAAUCCCAUUGUCUAAACUCUAUAUUCUUAAAGAUUUUAGAUACACCUUAAAUUUUAAAUGGAAUUUUACAUUCACUGUGCAAUAGGUUAAGACUUUUUUUUUCAAGAUUUUUAGUUCAACGAGCAGAUUGUGGAAGCAAUAUCUAGAUUGAUUUAUACUUUUUAGACUUUCUCGUAAAAUAAUUUUCGUAGUAAUGCUCUGGAUGUUUUCCUUCUCCAACUAAAAUGAUUUUGAUUUUGAUUUUUUUAUUUCAUUGUUAAUUUUUUUACAACCAUAUCCUUUGCUUCACUCCACUGAUUGCAACGUUUUCCCUUGACUAAAACAUUUUUUGGUAAGCCAAAAAAGGAGAGUUCCGAUAAAACGUGACCAUUACUGUACAGCAUGGAAAAAAUGGAAGGCACAGAUAAACUAUGGUAUUUAGCUUAAGACUACAAAUUCCUUAUCGCUCAUUGAACAAUUACCAGAUGAAAGUUCUACGACAACCACUCCGAACUUCAGAAAAAUGUACUUUAGCUGGAAACGUCGUUCUGCAACAUCUGUAUCUAACAGAGGAAACAACUUUCUGUAAAUCAAUGAAAAUAAAUAAAAUACAAUAAAUAUUCAGGUUUUAUAUAAUAAUAA